GCCUGGAUGGCCGAGUUGGUCUAAGGCGGCAGACUUAAGAUCUGCUGGUGUUCGCGCACCGCGUGGGUUCAAACCCCACUCCAGGCA
rnacentral:tRNA from 1 species